AUUGAACGCUGGCGGCAUGCCUAACACAUGCAAGUCGAGCGAGCGGCGGACGGGUGAGUAAUGUAUGGGGACUGCCCGAUAGAGGGGGAUAACUACUGGAAACGGUGGCUAAUACCGCAUACUAUCGGAUAACCCAUAUGGGAUAAGGUAGUAGGUGGGGUAAAGGCUCACCUAGGGGACGAUCUCUAGCUGGUCUGAGAGGAUGAACAGCCACUAUGGACCGGAAACACGCCCCAGCCCCCUCCGGAGGCAGCAGGGGGGAACAUCGCACAAUGGGCGCAAGCCUGCGGCAGCCAGGCCGCGUGGAUGUAGAAGGCCUUAGGGUUGUAAAGUACUUUCAGCGGGGCGGCGUUACCCGCAGAAGAAGCACCGGCUAACUCCGUGCCAGCAGCCGCGGUAAUAC
rnacentral:rRNA from 1 species